rnacentral:rRNA from 1 species
GUUUCCCGUAAGGCGCCGAAUGAGUCAUUAAAAAAUUAACAUCAUCCGAUCCCUAGUCGGCAUAGUUUAUGGUUAAGACUACGACGGUAUCUGAUCGUCUUCGAUCCCCUAACUUUCGUUCUUGAUUAAUGAAAACAUCCUUGGCAAAUGCUUUCGCAGUAGUUAGUCUUCAAUAAAUCCAAGAAUUUCACCUCUGACAAUUGAAUACUAAUGCCCCCAACUAUCCCUAUUAAUCAUUACAUCGAUCCUAGAAACCAACAAAAUAGAAUCGGAUGUCCUAUUUCAUUAUUCCAUGCUAAUGUAUUCAAGCGUGAGCCUGCUUUAAACACUCUAAUUUUUUCAAGGUAACAGUCCUAAUUCCCCGUAACACCAAAUUAAUGGCAUUACGGUUCUUUAGAAGGUGAGAAAUCAAUGAUAACAGUGCAUACCAACGGCAUGACCGAAAUAUUGAUCCCGAAAUUCAACUACGAGCUUUUUAACUGCAACAACUUUAAUAUACGCUAUUGGAGCUGGAAUUACCGCGGCUGCUGGCACCAGACUUGCCCUCCAA